rnacentral:rRNA from 1 species
UUGAAGGUUGGGUAACACUAACUGGAGGACCGAACCGACUAAUGUUGAAAAAUUAGCGGAUGACCUGUGGCUGGGGGUGAAAGGCCAAUCAAACCGGGAGAUAGCUGGUUCUCCCCGAAAGCUAUUUAGGUAGCGCCUCGUGAAUUCAUCUCCGGGGGUAGAGCACUGUUUCGGCUAGGGGGCCAUCCCGGCUUACCAACCCGAUGCAAACUGCGAAUACCGGAGAAUGUUAUCACGGGAGACACACGGCGGGUGCUAACGUCCGUCGUGAAGAGGGAAACAACCCAGACCGCCAGCUAAGGUCCCAAAGUCAUGGUUAAGUGGGAAACGAUGUGGGAAGGCCCAGACAGCCAGGAUGUUGGCUUAGAAGCAGCCAUCAUUUAAAGAAAGCG